UUAAGCGACUAAGCGUACACGGUGGAUGCCCUGGCAGUCAGAGGCGAUGAAGGACGUGCUAAUCUGCGAUAAGCGUCGGUAAGGUGAUAUGAACCGUUAUAACCGGCGAUUUCCGAAUGGGGAAACCCAGUGUGUUUCGACACACUAUCAUUAACUGAAUCCAUAGGUUAAUGAGGCGAACCGGGGAACUGAAACAUCUAAGUACCCCGAGGAAAAGAAAUCAACCGAGAUUCCCCCAGUAGCGGCGAGCGAACGGGGAGCAGCCCAGAGCCUGAAUCAGUGUGUGUGUUAGUGGAAGCGUCUGGAAAGGCGCGCGAUACAGGGUGACAGCCCCGUACACAAAAAUGCACAUGCUGUGAGCUCGAUGAGUAGGGCGGGACACGUGGUAUCCUGUCUGAAUAUGGGGGGACCAUCCUCCAAGGCUAAAUACUCCUGACUGACCGAUAGUGAACCAGUACCGUGAGGGAAAGGCGAAAAAGAACCCCGGCGAGGGGAGUGAAAAAAGAACCUGAAACCGUGUACGUACAAGCAGUGGGAGCACGCUUAGGCGUGUGACUGCGUACCUUUUGUAUAAUGGGUCAGCGACUUAUAUUCUGUAGCAAGGUUAACCGAAUAGGGGAGCCGAAGGGAAACCGAGUCUUAACUGGGCGUUAAGUUGCAGGGUAUAGACCCGAAACCCGGUGAUCUAGCCAUGGGCAGGUUGAAGGUUGGGUAACACUAACUGGAGGACCGAACCGACUAAUGUUGAAAAAUUAGCGGAUGACUUGUGGCUGGGGGGUGAAAGGCCAAUCAAACCGGGAGAUAGCUGGUUCUCCCCGAAAGCUAUUUAGGUAGCGCCUCGUGAAUUCAUCUCCGGGGGUAGAGCACUGUUUCGGCAAGGGGGUCAUCCCGACUUACCAACCCGAUGCAAACUGCGAAUACCGGAGAAUGUUAUCACGGGAGACACACGGCGGGUGCUAACGUCCGUCGUGAAGAGGGAAACAACCCAGACCGCCAGCUAAGGUCCCAAAGUCAUGGUUAAGUGGGAAACGAUGUGGGAAGGCCCAGACAGCCAGGAUGUUGGCUUAGAAGCAGCCAUCAUUUAAAGAAAGCGUAAUAGCUCACUGGUCGAGUCGGCCUGCGCGGAAGAUGUAACGGGGCUAAACCAUGCACCGAAGCUGCGGCAGCGACACUAUGUGUUGUUGGGUAGGGGAGCGUUCUGUAAGCCUGUGAAGGUGUACUGUGAGGUAUGCUGGAGGUAUCAGAAGUGCGAAUGCUGACAUAAGUAACGAUAAAGCGGGUGAAAAGCCCGCUCGCCGGAAGACCAAGGGUUCCUGUCCAACGUUAAUCGGGGCAGGGUGAGUCGACCCCUAAGGCGAGGCCGAAAGGCGUAGUCGAUGGGAAACAGGUUAAUAUUCCUGUACUUGGUGUUACUGCGAAGGGGGGACGGAGAAGGCUAUGUUGGCCGGGCGACGGUUGUCCCGGUUUAAGCGUGUAGGCUGGUUUUCCGGGCAAAUCCGGAAAAUCAAGGCUGAGGCGUGAUGACGAGGCACUACGGUGCUGAAGCAACAAAUGCCCUGCUUCCGGGGAAAAGCCUCUAAGCAUCAGGUAACAUCAAAUCGUACCCCCAAACCGACACAGGUGGUCAGGUAGAGAAUACCAAGGCGCUUGAGAGAACUCGGGUGAAGGAACUAGGCAAAAUGGUGCCGUAACUUCGGGAGAAGGCACGCUGAUAUGUAGGUGAAGUCCCUCGCGGAUGGAGCUGAAAUCAGUCGAAGAUACCAGCUGGCUGCAACUGUUUAUUAAAAAACACAGCACUGUGCAAACACGAAAGUGGACGUAUACGGUGUGACGCCUGCCCGGUGCCGGAAGGUUAAUUGAUGGGGUUAGCCGCAAGGCGAAGCUCUUGAUCGAAGCCCCGGUAAACGGCGGCCGUAACUAUAACGGUCCUAAGGUAGCGAAAUUCCUUGUCGGGUAAGUUCCGACCUGCACGAAUGGCGUAAUGAUGGCCAGGCUGUCUCCACCCGAGACUCAGUGAAAUUGAACUCGCUGUGAAGAUGCAGUGUACCCGCGGCAAGACGGAAAGACCCCGUGAACCUUUACUAUAGCUUGACACUGAACAUUGAGCCUUGAUGUGUAGGAUAGGUGGGAGGCUUUGAAGUGUGGACGCCAGUCUGCAUGGAGCCGACCUUGAAAUACCACCCUUUAAUGUUUGAUGUUCUAACGUUGACCCGUAAUCCGGGUUGCGGACAGUGUCUGGUGGGUAGUUUGACUGGGGGCGGUCUCCUCCUAAAGAGUAACGGAGGAGCACGAAGGUUGGCUAAUCUCGGUCGGACAUCAGGAGGUUAGUGCAAUGGCAUAAGCCAGCUUGACUGCGAGCGUGACGGCGCGAGCAGGUGCGAAAGCAGGUCAUAGUGAUCCGGUGGUUCUGAAUGGAAGGGCCAUCGCUCAACGGAUAAAAGGUACUCCGGGGAUAACAGGCUGAUACCGCCCAAGAGUUCAUAUCGACGGCGGUGUUUGGCACCUCGAUGUCGGCUCAUCACAUCCCGGGGCUGAAGUAGGUCCCAAGGGUAUGGCUGUUCGCCAUUUAAAGUGGUACGCGAGCUGGGUUUAGAACGUCGUGAGACAGUUCGGUCCCUAUCUGCCGUGGGCGCUGGAGAACUGAGGGGGGCUGCUCCUAGUACGAGAGGACCGGAGUGGACGCAUCACUGGUGUUCGGGUUGUCAUGCCAAUGGCACUGCCCGGUAGCUAAAUGCGGAAGAGAUAAGUGCUGAAAGCAUCUAAGCACGAAACUUGCCCCGAGAUGAGUUCUCCCUGACUCCUUGAGAGUCCUGAAGGAACGUUGAAGACGACGACGUUGAUAGGCCGGGUGUGUAAGCGCAGCGAUGCGUUGAGCUAACCGGUACUAAUGAACCGUGAGGCUUAACCU
rnacentral:rRNA from 1 species